rnacentral:tRNA from 1 species
GGGGAUGUAGCUCAGUGGUAAGAGCACUUGCCUCAUGCCCAAGGCUCUGGGUUUGACCCUCAGCACCA